GUUUUUGUAGUGUAAUAAAUGCACAUCAGAUUUUCGUUUUGAAAGAGUGGCCUUACCAAAAAUU
rnacentral:tRNA from 1 species